rnacentral:rRNA from 1 species
GACGAACGCUGGCGGCGUGCCUAAUACAUGCAAGUCGAACGAACGGAUAAAGAGCUUGCUCUUUUGAAGUUAGUGGCGGACGGGUGAGUAACACGUGGGUAACCUGCCUCACAGCUGGGGAUAACAUCGAGAAAUCGAUGCUACUACCGAAUGUGCUGAACAUCAUAAGAUGUUCAAGUGAAAGACGGUUUCGGCUGUCACUGUGAGAUGGACCCGCGCUGGAUUAGCUAGUUGGUAAGGUAAUGGCUUACCAAGGCGACGAUCCAUAGCCGACCUGAGAGGGUGGUCGGCCGCAUGGGGAGGGAGACAAGGCCCAAACUCCUACGGGAGGCAGCAGUAGGGAAUCUUCGGGAAUGGACGAAAGUCGGACCGAGCAACGCCGCGGGAGCGGAGAAGGCCUUCGGGUCGUAAAGCUCUGUUGUUAGAGAAGAACAUGGGUGAGAGUAACUGUUCACCCCUUGACGGUAGCUAACCAGAAAGCCACGGCUAACUACGUG